UGGCGAACGGGUGAGUAACGCGUGAGGAACCUGCCUCAAAGAGGGGGACAACAGUUGGAAACGACUGCUAAUACCGCAUAAGCCCACGGGUCGGCAUCGACCUGAGGGAAAAGGAGCAAUCCGCUUUGAGAUGGCCUCGCGUCCGAUUAGCUAGUUGGUGAGGUAACGGCCCACCAAGGCAACGAUCGGUAGCCGGACUGAGAGGUUGAACGGCCACAUUGGGACUGAGACACGGCCCAG
rnacentral:rRNA from 1 species